rnacentral:rRNA from 1 species
CCUACGGGAGGCAGCAGUGGGGAAUAUUGGACAAUGGGCGAAAGCCUGAUCCAGCAAUGCCGCGUGAGUGAUGAAGGCCUUAGGGUUGUAAAGCUCUUUUACCAGGGAUGAUAAUGACAGUACCUGGAGAAUAAGCUCCGGCUAACUCCGUGCCAGCAGCCGCGGUAAUACGGAGGGAGCUAGCGUUGUUCGGAAUUACUGGGCGUAAAGCGUGCGUAGGCGGUUAUUCAAGUCAGAGGUGAAAGCCCGGGGCUCAACCCCGGAACGGCCUUUGAAACUAGAUAACUAGAAUCUUGGAGAGGUUAGUGGAAUUCCGAGUGUAGAGGUGAAAUUCGUAGAUAUUCGGAAGAACACCAGUGGCGAAGGCGACUAACUGGACAAGCAUUGACGCUGAGGUACGAAAGCGUGGGGAGCAAACAGGAUUAGAUACCCUGGUAGUCCACGCCGUAAACGAUGAUAACUAGCUGUCCGGGCACUUGGUGCUUGGGUGGCGCAGCUACGCAUUAAGUUAUCCGUCCGUCGGGUAGGUACGGUCGCGAAGUAAUUAAAACGUUAAACGUAAGUUAGUACGGCGUGAGACGUCGCCGACGGACGACCGACGAGGGAGGUAGG